AAUGAACGCUGGCGGCGUGGAUUAGGCAUGCAAGUCCAGGGGGAAAAUUCCCUUCGGGGGAUGAGUACACCGGCGAACUGGUUAGUAACAGGUGGGGAACGUGCCCCGAGGCCGGGGAUAACCGUCUGGAAACAGCGGCUAAGACCCGAUUCGGCCCGGCAGUCUUCGGAUAGCCGGCGCCAAAGGCGCUCCUUCGGGAGUGCCGCCGCGGGAUCGCCCCCGCCCCCGACUUAGCUAGAUGGCGAGGUAACGGCUCACCAUGGCUGCGAUCGGUAGCUGGUCUGAGAGGAUGGUCAGCAACACUGGGACUGAGAUACGGCCCAGACUCCUACGGGAGGCAGCAGUCUAGAAGCUUCCGCAAUGGGCGAAAGCCUGACGGAGCGACGCCGCGUGCGCGAAGAAGGCCUCGGUUGUAAG
rnacentral:rRNA from 1 species